CACUACAGCAAACUACAUAUGUUAGAUUUCCCUAAAUCGUCUUGUUGCGCUCUUUGCAGCUCUCCGGUAUACUGUUGAUGUCUUCAAACAAGUUGCCCAAAAGUUCCUGGAUUUUAGAGUCCAUGUUCCACCACUGCCCUUCUUCACCUCGGAGACCCGAAGACCUGCUCCAGGAUCCUCCCAGCCACCCUCACUAGAACCCCUGCCGCACACUCCGCUCUGCCAUGCGUUUUAUCCCAGAUUCCCUAGGAGAUUUGCCCUACCCUUGUUCUGUAGCUAAUCCCAGCCCCGCCCCACACCCUAGCCCCGCCCACAGCACCAGCCCCGCCCUAUACCCCAAGCCCCGCCCACACUGGGGUCUUGCUUCAGAAGUCCUCCUUCGGCGCCAAACCAUAGAUAUUCGACGACUGUGUUGUCGGCCUCCUCCACGUUCUGGGUCCGCGUUGGAAUUCUGGACUGGACGAGAAAGCCGGAGCGCGAGUCGUAAAGGAUUCACCUUGAAAAUCUCGGGGAGGCUGUGGGUUCGAGUGGGGAAUUGAUUAUUUUACUGCUGCUCUCCUUUCAACAUGAAGGAGGAUCAAGUUGUGCAGGAAGAAUCGGGAUUCCAAGAUGAGGAGGAGUCUUUGUUUCAAGACAUUGACCUGUUACAAAAACACGGAAUCAAAAUGACCAGAGCAAAUCAUGGUGGCAGAAAUGUAGACUAUCAAAAAAAUAGAAGCAGGAGAGAAUCCCCGCCUUUGGUGAUGUAGUUAUUUGUGUUCUUCAGGAGCAGACGGAAAAUAAACUUUGAAAACUGU
rnacentral:lncRNA from 1 species